rnacentral:rRNA from 1 species
CCCUUAGAUGUCCUGGGCCGCACGCGCGCUACACUGACGGAGCCAGCGAGCGUGUCCUUCGCCGAAAGGUGCGGGUAAUCUUGGCAGCCUCCGUCGUGCUGGGGAUAGAUGGUUGCAAUUAUUGAUCUUGAACGAGGAAUUCCUAGUAAGCGCGAGUCACCAGCUCGCGUUGAUUACGUCCCUGCCCUUUGUACACACCGCCCGUCGCUCCUACCGAUUGAGUGGUCCGGUGAGGCUUUGGGAUCUGAGCGGAAAGAGCGUUUCGCUGUUUCUGCUCGGAAAACUCAGUCGAACCUUAUCAUUUAGAGGAAGGAGAAGUCGUAACA